AGGCCACAGUGAGGGCAUUCUUAGAGUUGGUCCUUGAAUCUCUCCAUAAGUUUGGAACGGACUCACUAGGCUUUUGUCGAAACCGAAGGAUAUCACUUCUAAGCUU